rnacentral:sRNA from 1 species
GUGGGGUGUGGUAAUAUACACCUGUAAUCCCAGAUUCUUGGAGGCUGAGACAGGAGGAUCAUGAGUUAGAGGCCAGCCUGGGCAAUUCAGUGAGACCCCGUCUCAC